rnacentral:rRNA from 1 species
AACGAACGUUGGCGGCGUGGAUGAGGCAUACAAGUCGAACGCGAAAGCCGCAAGGUGAGUAGAGUGGCGGACGGGCGAGUAACACGUAGUCAAGCUGCCUGCGAGACGGGAAUAACUUCGGGAAACCGAAGCUAAGACCCGAUGGUCUGCACGGAUCGCAUGGUUUGUGCAGUAAAUGGGCGGGAUCCUCCGGGAUCGCCUGCUCGCAGAGGUGAUUGCGGCCCAUCAGCUAGUUGGUAGGGUAAUGGCCUACCAAGGCUACGACGGGUAGCCGGCCUUAGAGGGUGGUCGGCCGCACUGGGACUGAGACACUGCCCAGACUCCUACGGGAGGCUGCAGUCGAGAAUCUUCCGCAAUGGGCGCAAGCCUGACGGAGCGACGCCGCGUGGAGGACGAAGGCCUUCGGGUUGUAAACUCCUGUCACGAGUUAAGAAGAGCAUGCAGCGAACAGCUGUAGGCUUUGACGUAAGCUCGAGAGGAAGCACUGGCUAACUCUGUGC